AGCAGCGCAUGCCAGCCCGCGAGCGCCAUUUGCUCUUUUCCAUUUUCAAGCAGUGCAUCUCAGCCCUCAAGAGCUUCUCCCAUUUUCAAGCAGCGGCAUCCCAUCGCCAUCGAGCAGCGGCAUCUUCCAUCGCCAUCGAGCAGCGUCUUCAAAUAAGAUGUGGGUUGUGCAUCGUAUCAUUCCUCUGUUUAUUUUGCCAAGGUUGGUGGAUACACAGUGGAGUAAAAGGGAGACAACACUAGUGCAGUGAGAGGAGCAGGUCAUGAUUUCUUUCUCAAUCUUUUUUUUUUUUUCUUUUUAGUAGAAAAUCAGUAAUAGUUUGUUGAUGAUAACAUUUAUAGGAUAAUGAGAAAGUGGAUAUGCGAAGGCUUGUUGAUUGGAACCAAUCAAAGGAAGUCUUGAAGCUAAUUGCAAUACCUGCUUAAAGCUUAAAAAAAUGGGUUCAAUUCCUUGCCCAAAAACAUAUCAGUAUGUAUUCAAUUAUCUUUCGUUGUGCUUCAGUGUUAUAAUCAGGACAAUCUACGUUGGAUCAUUGAUGAUGGUUUUGUACGUCACAUGUCUAGUCACCAAAAAAUUGUACAUCAGCAUGUCUGCUAUUAGAGUUCUUUUUUCCUUGGAAUUUGUUGUAAAGAUGCCAUCUUUUCAUGUUUUUCUUUGAUUUGUCUGUGGUGAUGAUUUUCCACAUCUGAACUUUAUGGCCCAGUUUGUCAGAACAUCUCCAUGUUUAAAAGGUGA